GUGAAGCAGGAGAUAGAUGGGUCCCGGCUGAGCAACUGUAAUCGGUUCCCUGUGGACAGAUAACUUCAAGAUAAAAGCUGCAUCCUGCUUGAAUAAAAGACGGAGACCUCCUAUUUCUCAUUCUUGAGGUUGAGGAGACCUUGGGAGCUCUACACUCGCAGAAGGGUUCCUCAGGAGGAACCCUUUCUCUCUCUUUAGAGAAAGGAGGGGCAGCAGACCAUAGUACAACCUGUCAACUUCCAGAGACCCUGGUGCUGGAAUCCAUCCUGGCUAAAAGACGCUCAAGCACACAGGGGAGGGCCCAGAGUCAGGCCAAAGCCAAACAAAGCAAGGUGAUUGGCCAGAGGAAGCUCAGAAGGACUGCCCCCUACGAGUGAUUUAAAGGCCCUCCGAGGCUCGUUGCCUUCUUCCUCUCUUGGUUUCUCUCUGUCGUCUACCUCUACUCUCACCCCCCACUCCCACCCUGCCUGUGCUUUUUUGGUACCUAUCCUCUCUCUUAUCCCCUAAUAAACCUUGCCUGUGUUAUCUCACACCUAUCUCCUCUCUUUAAAUAAACACUUGUUUGCCUCACUACCCUCAGUCUCUUUGCUGAAUUCUUUUAUUGAAGGGACAAAAUUCUGGGGGCCUACAUCAAGUGCUUAGGGUUCAGCAUUCUCACCCAACAGCCACCCGAGAACAGUGGAGAGACCAAGGUGGGGAGGGCGAGGUUGGCUGGAAGAGAAGACCAAAGGGCUAUGCGCCUCAGAGAGCCUGGCUGAAGGGCUCCCCCUGCAUCCCGGCAGGAUCCUUCACUACCCUGAAGAUGAAAUUCAGAGGUAAAAUACCCUAGCUAGACACAUAAUUUUUAAAAAUAUGCAGGUAUAGAUAUAUAUUCCUAACUGUAUAAUAAAGAGGAAAUAUAUUUUAUUAAAAAUAAAUAUAUUUUCGGAGUUCCCGUUGUCUCUCAGUGGUAACGAACCUGACUAGUAUCCAUGAGGAUGUGGGUUCGAUCCCUGGCCUUGCUCAGUGGGUUAAGGAUCUGGCGUUGCCGUGAGCUGUGGUGUUGGUUGUAGGCAUAUCUUGGGAUCCCAUGUGGCUAAGGCAUCGGCUGGCAGCUACAACUCUGAUUUGACCCCUAGCCUGAGACUCUCCAUAUGCUGUGGUUGUGGCCCUAAAAAGACAAAAGACAAAAAAAAAAAGAGAAAAAAUGGAGGAAAAAACCAUCUUUACUUCUCAUCUGUCCCCUUGUGAUGAAGCAGUGUUGCUCAGGCGCCUGGGCAUCCUGGAUCGUCAUGCCACACAGUGUGGGUGCAGCUGCUUGUUUUACAAGCUGUGUGCACCUUUGGCACACAGGUUGUAAAAUUUUUCUAAUUAUAAAAAUAAUAAGACACAUUUAGAAAGUAUAGAAAAGUAACAGCAAAAAAAGGGGGAAAAAAAACACUCACCUCUAAUCCUGCCACCCAGAGGCAGUCCCUAUUAACAUUUUGAUAUAUUUCCUCCCUGGAUUUUAAAUGCAUUUUUCUGUAGCUGAGAUCAUACAGUAUACAUAAUUUCAUGCUCUGUUUUUUUUUACUUGUUGCAUUAUUUUCCCAUAUCAUUAAAAAUUGGUUGAGAACAUUAAAUUUUUUUCCAUAUUAGUUUAUUUAAUUACAAAGGUAAUAACACUGACGUAAAGAAUUAAUUCAGAAAUAUAAAAAGUAAUUCAGUAAAAGUAAAAUCUUCCCUUCAGUCCCCUUUUCCCCCCAUUCCUCGGAGGUAAACCAUUUUUAACAUUAAUAAGGUGAGUUUUUUGGCGGAAGUUCCUGGGCCAGGGAUUGAACCCAAACCACAGUAGUAACCAGAGCCACAGCAGUGAUAGCAUUGGAUCUUUAACCACAGAGCCACGAGGGAACUCUUAACAGUUUAGCUUUUAUCCUUGCAGAUUUCCUCUAUUCUUAUGCAAAACAUCUUUUUAAAAAUGGUCCUGGAGUUCCCGUCGUGGUUUAGUGGAAAUAUGGAAUAUUUCCAUAGUUCCUGUCGUGGCAUAUGGAAGUUCCUGGGGCAGGGAUCAGAGUCAUGUUAUAGUUAAUGAUGGAGUUGGGCUGAAACUUGCUAGACUUAGUAUUGGGGUCAGGAAUUGAAGUAGAGGGAAUUCCUGUCGUGGCUCAGUGGAAACAAAUCUGACUGGCAUCCAUGAGGACGCAGGUUCGAUUCCUGUACUUGCUCAGUGGGUUAAGGAUCCGACAUUGCCGUGAGCUGUGGUGUGGGUCUCAGACUCGGCUCAAAAAUGGUAUUGCUGUGACUGUGAUGUAGGCCAGUGGCUACAGCUCCGAUUCAACCCCUGGCCUGGGAACCUCAGGUUUUUAAAGCCUCAGGGGCAGCCUUAAAAACCAAAAAAAGGGGUCCUACAACUAGCUUUUUCAUGGCCCAGUGCUCAUGGGAGACAUUUCCUUAUCAGUACAUAGGGAUCCACUGCAUUUUAAGAAAGCUGCCAUCCAUAGAUGUGCCAAACUUUAUUCUGCCAUUCCCCUUUAAUGAAUAUUUACACUUACACAACUGUCAUUUUGUACGUGCAGUUUCUCUUGGAUGGGAGUGGAAUUGUGUGACAAAUGGUAUAUGCAUCUUAACAUUGGGAUAGAGGUGGAAAAGUUACCUUCCUUUUAGAAGAUUUGAAGGAUUAUAGCUCCAUCAAUAGUGUGUAUUGCUGUGAAAACUUACCAUUGGUGGUUGGGUACCUUAGUGGUUGACAGCUGGUCAUAGGACCUAAUAGUCCUAGUUUCGACUCCCACCUCUGCCAUUAGCUAGAUAUGUGGUUUUGAUGAGUGGCUUAAUGUUUCUCUGCCCCAAUUUUCUCAUCCAGAAAAUGAAGAGUCAUGACAACGGUCCUCUUCUGUUGGGUUAUUUUGACCACUUUAAAAAAAAUGAAAUAACGCAUAUGAAACACUUAGACUAGUACUUAAUACAGAGUAAAGUGUACAGUGAGUGGUAACUCAUUAUUACUGUGAUUAACGUGGCUAUCCCCCUAUUAUUGGACAUUUAAAUGGCUGAAAUUCUUCUUUUUUUUUUUUAUGGAUAUGGGAGUUCCCAGGCCAGGGAUUGAAUGUGAUCCACAGCUGUGACCACACUGCAGCUGAGGCAACACUGGAUCCUUUAAUCCACUGGGCCAGGCUGCGGAUUGAACCAGAACCUCUAAAGAGACCUGAGCCGCUGUAGCUGGAUUCUUAACCCACAGUGGGAACUCAUGGCUGAAAUUCUUUUAACAGGCUUUCUUCAAAAGAUUGUAUUAGCAAUUCCCAUUGUGGAGCAGUGGAAACGAAUCCAACUAGGAACCAUGAGCUUUCGGGUUCGAUCCCUGGCCUUGCUCAGUGGGUUAAGGAUCUGACGUUGCUGUGAGCUGUGGUGCAGGUCGUAGACGCAGCUAAGAUCCUGCGUGGCUGUGGCUGUGGCUGGCUGCUGUAGCUCCGAUUGGACCCCUAGCCUGGGAACUUCCAUAGCUGUGAGUGCAGCCCUAAAAAGCAAAAAAAAAAAAAAAAAAAAAAAAAGGCUUUAUCAAUUUUUCCUUUUAACUAGGCAGGUUUUUUUUUAAGUUAAAAUGUUUAUUUAAAAUUUAGCUUGGAGUUCCCGUCGUGGCGCAGUGGUUGGCGAAUCCGACUAGGAACCAUGAGGUUGCGGGUUCGGUCCCUGCCCUUGCUCAGUGGGUUGGUGAUCCGGCGUUGCCGUGAGCUGUGGUGUGGGUUGCAGACACGGCUCGGAUCCCGCGUUGCUGUGGCUCUGGCGUAGGCCAGUAGCUACAGCUCCGAUUAGACCCCUAGCCUGGGAACCUCCAUAUGCCGCGGGAGCGGCCCAAGAAAUAG
rnacentral:lncRNA from 1 species